rnacentral:misc_RNA from 1 species
UCCCGGUUGGCCCGGGCAGUCUCGCAUGAAAAAUACAACAUACGACGAGGGUUGCGCUCGUUGCGGGACUUAACCCAACAUCUCACGACACGAGCUGACGACGGCCAUGCAGCGCCUGUCACUAGGCUCCCUAAGGCACUCCCUGAUUUCUCAGGGAUUCCUAGGAUGUCAAGCCUGGGUAAGGUUCUCCGCGUAGCGUCAAAUUAAACCACAUCAUCCACCGCUUGUGCGGGUCCCCGUCAAUUCCUUUGAGUUUUAGCCUUGCGGCCGUACUUCCCAGGCGGCAUACUUAUCGCGUUAGCUUCGUCUCACAGGGGGUCGAUACCCCAUAAGACUAGUAUGCAUCGUUUACGGCGUGGACUAC